rnacentral:piRNA from 1 species
GAGAAUGAAUGUUCCAUGAGGAGUGGC